UCAGAUUGUUCUGCAUACACUGAGAUAAGGCUCUUUCAAUGAGUGCUUGAUGACUGCAAGCGUUGACGUGGGUGAUACGUGCUCCUACAUUUAAGUUUCUAGGUUUUGAAACAGCUGAUGUGGUUGUAUCUUGGGCUGUUUAAGCAGAAAACUCCCAUACAUAUCAAGUUUGGGAAGGCUGAUAUCUUUCCUACAAAUAGUACUCAGUUCUUACGCAUGGUGGAAAUUGUUCGAGGAGGCUGUAAAUUGUAAAGAAAGCAAAUGAAAAACUUGGUACGCCUGUGGGUUCUCCCUGAAGCAGCAGAGCCUAUUACGACAUAAUGGUGAAAUGCAGCAUGGAUGGGGUUGUCGUAAACAAAGGAAGAAGAAACAUGAUCUUCACAACAAUCCAUUAAGUAAGUGCUUUUAUAAAGUGAAGCUCAUUCCUUAGGUAUAGCUCACCAUUGUUAGUGAUUUCAAUAAAAAU